GUGAAUCAUCAAAUUUUUGAACGCAAAUUGCACUCUCUUCGGAUAGUAUGCCUGUUUGAGGUUCAGCCUCAUAAAAAUCUACAUAGUUUCUGUUACGCUGUAACAUUCUUCCGCCAUUGCGUCAUCUUACACCUUUGGGUUUAUGCGGCUUAACAUUUUCUUUUCGAUUCCAAGUACGUUUCUAAGUUUUUAUUUUCUUAUACCUUUAAGGUAUCGAUCUUUAUUUGCCCUCUCCGUUUCAUCGGAUCUCGUCCAUCAAUCUGUCGUUAACUGUCCUCAUACACGUAAGACCACCC
rnacentral:misc_RNA from 1 species